rnacentral:rRNA from 1 species
UACUAAUGCAACUGCGAAUAGCUGUUUAAUACAGUCGCAUUUGUCUUGACUUAGCAUAAAAUASAUGUUUAAUUACAUUYAUAGCAAAAUCCAUUAAAAUAUAUUUAAUAUAUUUUGGAUAACUAAGGGAAAGUUUGGCUAAUACGUACAAUACAUUAUAUAUUAAUUUAACAUUGGUAAUUAAUAUAUAUAAUACAUACGCAUAUAUUGAAUUCAUUGCAACAUGAUUGACAAUAUAUAAGUAUUUAUAUUACUUCGGUAAUAUAUAACACCAGCAGACUUAAUUAAUAUUUGUUHAAUUAAGCAUGUCAUACAAGCAUCUAUAGCAUCAAGUCACAAUGUUGGCAUGUGUAUUAUUGAACCUUCAAAGCAAUAACGCAUACGGAAGAGUAGUUUCUGAUCCCAUAGAAGGAGCACUGUACAAUGAGAGACCGCUCUUAGUUCUAAGGAACGCAGCAGGCGCGUAAAUUGCCCAAUGAUAAAACAUGCUAAUAUAUAAUUAAUAUAAUUAAUAUAAAUUAUAUUAAUACAUAUAUUUAAACAAUACAACCUUGUUUAACUAUCUCUCUUUUGAGGCAGUGACAAGCUGUAAAGAUUCAUUAUUAUCUUAAGACUUCAUUUGGAAUUGUCGCUAUAAUAUAUUUUUAUAUAUUAUAGCUUGAUAAUAUACCAAUGAAGUAAUAUAAUGAAUUUGAAUGCGGUGAUUGUAAUAAUUUCAAGUAACAUUAAUAAAUAUUUAGUUAUUUAUUAUUUAUCUGAAUUUUCAAGUGGAGGGCAAGUCUGGUGCCAGCAGCCGCGGUAAUACCAGCUCCACUAGCCUAUACAAUCAUUGUUGCGGUUAAGAGGCUCGUAGUUGGAUUGAAAAUCAAUUGGAAAAUAUAUAUAUUAACACAAUAUACUUAAUAUAUAUAUUAUUUCAAUACUGUGAACAAACCAGAGUGUAUAAAACAUGUAAUAUAAUUUAUUAUUAUGCAUUGAAUGUUUCAUCAUGGAAUAUUGCAUACAUAAUAUAAUAAAUAAUAUAUUACAUAUAAUUUAUAUACAAUUGUGUCGAUGGAGAUAGUUGGAGUUAAAGGUACUGAUAAGCGAGCGGUGAAAUGCUUUGACCUUAUUAAGACCAACAAAAGCGAAAGCAUUUAACUAGAUUAUUCUCUUUGUCUUAUAUAUACAUGCAAUAUAUAAACACGUAUUAUAUAUUGGCAAUAGUAUAUAUUCAUUUUUACAAUGAAGAGCGAAGGUUAGGGGAACAAAGAGGAUCAGAUACCCUCGUCGUCCUAUUUAUACAUCAAACGAUGGGAUUUCAAUUGAAUAUUUUUAUAUACUUAUUAAUUAAGUAUAUAUAAUAUGUUUAUUUGUUCCUUUAACAAUUAAUUAUUUAUAUGGUUGAGUUUAAUUUGAACUCCUAUAUAUUAAUUAAUGUUAAUUUAAAUAUUUCUAUUAUAUUUCAUCUUAAUUAAUUAAUUAAUAUUAAUAUAUUAUGCCCUUGUGUAUUUAUAUUAAUUGAUUAUAUGUACUUUGCGCUCAAUUUAUAGGUGAGAUGUAAGCAUUAUUAUAUUGUAUUAGUUUUUAUAUAAUCUUUAUUGUAUUAUUAUAAUAACUUAAUAUAAUAUAUAUCACAAAUGUAAUGYGAUGCACGUUYUAGGUACAAGCUUACUAUAGAAAUAUUUAAAAUAAUACCCUCCUGGGGAAGUAUGCACGCAAGUGUGAAACUUGAAGGAAUUGACGGAAGGGCACCACAAGAACGCGUGGAGCAUGUGGCUUAAUUUGACUCAACGCGGGAAAUCUUACCAGGUCCAGACAUAUUGAGGAUUGACAGGCGAUAACAUAUAAUAUAUAUUUAAUAUAUAUUAUAUGUAUAAACAUGAUAGUCCUUUCAUGAUUAUAUGAUAGGUGGUGCAUGGCCGUUCUUAGUUCGUGGAGUGAUCUGUCUGCUUAAUUGCGUUUCAGAUUAUAUUAACAAUAUUAUAUAUUAUAAUAUUUUUAUAUAGUUCUGCUCCUUUUGUGAGAUUGUGAACAUAUAUUUUAUUAUAUAUAUAAAAUUUAUUAAAUGAAUGCAACGAACGUGACUAUAACCUUUUAUUGCUAUAUAUUUAUUUAAAUAAAUUAAUUACUUUGGUAUUAAUAUAUAAUACAGCUUAAAAUUAAAGGAACCGCUGUCUAUUUUAAGUGCUUAAACAGUGUAAGAUUAUGGCAAUAACAGGUCUGUGAUGCCCUCAGAUGUUCUGGGCUGCACACGUGCUACAAUGAUCACACUAAUAAGUGUCUAAUUAAACAAAUAGUAUUUAUUUUAAUAUAUAUUAUAAUUUUUAUAAUAUAUAUUAUUUAUAAAUCUAUAUAAAAACCUAUUUCGAAAGUGAAUGGGUAAUCAUCUAAAAAUCGUGACAAAUUAUAUUUAUACUACAUUAUAUAAAUAUUAUUAUAUUAAUAGAAUAAUUAUAUUCAAUUAUCUCUUAUUAAUUAAUAAUAUUUGUAGUAUUAAUUAAUUCAUGGUGGGGAUAGUGUAUUGUUAAUUAUUACACUUGGCUUUAACUAGGAAUGCCUUGUACUGUUCCUUGGUUCAACAUACCAACAGGAAUACGUCCCUGCCCUUUGUACACACCGCCCGUCGCUCUUACCGAUGAAUUAUAUUAUAAGUCUAAGGGACUUAAUACAUAUAUUCUUUUUGAAUAUAUAUCAGGAAACUUAUACGCAUAAUGUGAUUUAAAGGAAAGAGAAGUCGUAACAAGGCAUCGGUAGGUGAACCU